rnacentral:rRNA from 1 species
AUGAAACCAAUCUUCAAACCGCCAAACAAUACCAUUGAAACAGUGGACGAGCUUAUUGACACGACCAACUGGUCUUGGCGGCAAGAUUUGGUUAGGGAAAUUUUCAUCGCCCCAGAUGCUGAAGGCAUUCUAAACAUUCCCAUCGGGCAAGGGGGGGGCGAGGAUUCUUUUCCUUGGGCAUUCGAGAAAUCAGGCAACUACACUGUGAAGACAUCGUAUCGUGCUCUAAUGACUCAGAAAGAGCGUUUGGCUCUAGAGGAAGGGACGGCUACCGGAACCUCAGUAGACGAUCAACAGCUGUGGAAGGCCUUGUGGAAACUGAAUGUCAUACCGAAAGUGAGGGUUUUCUGGUGGAGAGUUCUUCAUGGGAUUCUUCCGGAUGAAUCUACUCUCAACUAUCGUCAUAUUGCACCAAUUAAUCGGUGCAAAGUCUGCUUAGCAAUGAGGGAGAAUCUGGAGCAUGCUCUCAUUCAUUGUUCCCAUGCACAACGUUUCUGGGACGAGGCUUGUGCUUGGUUUGGUAUACGUCUACCCCGACUCCACCCGGACUCAUGGGCUCGUGACAUCACAUGUGACACCAGGUUCUCGGAUGAUGACCGAGCCAAAAUCACCACUGUCAUGUAG